AGAGCUUACAAUUUAUGAUGGAUGCCUGUUAUUUUUAUCUAACCAAUGUCCUUUUCCUUAUGUUCUGACAGUUGCAGCCUCUUUUUCUUUGGGGAAAUGUUUCUUCCACUACUCAUUGCAUUAAAUUCUGGCUGCUAAUCAUGGUAUCCUCCUCAUCCUUUCAAGUCAUAGGAGUGGCCAUGUGACACAUAGCCAAUCAGAGGACUCCAUUCCCUCAGCCACAGUGACUGGUGCAAGAGAAGUAUGUGCUGAGCACUGUGCUGGAGUUAAAGAUCCACUAAAGAGCCCAAUCCCUGGUCUCAGAGAAUGUCCAACUAAGUGAGGAAGAAAGACAUUUUAGAAGUUACUGUGAAGAAAAAUUGCUAGAUGCUGUGGGAACUGCCAACCUAUAGAAGCAAAAGUAUCUUAUGAGAAUGUCUUUAGAUACAGAAGUCUCCAGUGGUAAAAAUUCACACAAUACCAGAAUAUGGAAGCCUAUGUGGGCUUUGGGACCAGAGUUCAUGCAGAGUGAGAUCUCCAGAACAGCAGCAUUAGCAUCACCAGGAACUCCAGAGAAAUGCACUUUCUUAGCCCUACCCUGGGCUUAUGGACGCAGGAACUGUGUGGAUAAGGCCUAGCAAUAAGUGGUUUAAUAAGCUUUCCAGGUGACUCAGACACACUGCCAAGUUUUAGGUGGUUCUUUUGUGCACUUGUAUAUAAUUCAGCCCUGUUAAA